rnacentral:rRNA from 1 species
GCUUAACCGGAGAAGUGCAUCGGAAACUGGAUAACUUGAGUGCAGAAGAGGGUAGUGGAACUCCAUGUGUAGCGGUGGAAUGCGUAGAUAUAUGAAAGAACACCAGUGGCGAAGGCGGCUACCUGGUCUGCAACUGACGCUGAGACUCGAAAGCAUGGGUAGCGAACAGGAUUAGAUACCCUGGUAGUCCAUGCCGUAAACGAUGAGUGCUAGGUGUUGGAGGGUUUCCGCCCUUCAGUGCCGGAGCUAACGCAUUAAGCACUCCGCCUGGGGAGUACUACCGCAAGGUUGAAACUCAAAGGAAUUGACGGGGGCCCGCACAAGCGGUGGAGCAUGUGGUUUAAUUCGAAGCUACGCGAAGAACCUUACCAGGUCUUGACAUCUUGCGCCAACCCUAGAGAUAGGGCGUUUCCUUCGGGAACGCAAUGACAGGUGGUGCAUGGUCGUCGUCAGCUCGUGUCGUGAGAUGUUGGGUUAAGUCCCGCAACGAGCGCAACCAUUGUUACUAGUUGCCAGCAUUAAGUUGGGCACUCUAGUGAGACUGCCGGUGACAAACCGGAGGAAGGUGGGGACGACGUCAGAUCAUCAUGCCCCUUAUGACCUGGGCUACACACGUGCUACAAUGGACGGUACAACG